rnacentral:tRNA from 1 species
GGAUACGUAGUUCAACGGUUAGAGCUCCCGCCUCAUAAGCGGGUAGUCCCCAGUUCGAAUCUGGGCGUAUCCACAA